GUCGUCGUGAGGCGGGGUCUGAAGGAAGCGUGUACCAAAGCCACGACCUGACGAACAGAAACCAGGGC
rfam:Candidatus Burkholderia pumila strain TZHbot3 BPMIctg506, whole genome shotgun sequence.